AAGAAUAACAAUGUCCGACCUGUGCUGUCUUCCAAAGAGACUGACACAAGCCGACCACAAUUUCUAUGGCCCCAUCGAGCUCGAUCAAGGGGGAUGCCAUGACAAGGAUGUCACUUUGGAGCAACCCCGAUUGGGCCAUGAUUUUCUCGAAUUAGUGAUACCGACUAUCGAUCUAGAGGCACAUCGAAAAUAUAAAUCAGAGG
rnacentral:lncRNA from 1 species